rnacentral:rRNA from 1 species
CGUGGGUAACCUGCCCAAGAGACUGGGACAACACCUGGGAACAGAUGCUAAUACCGGAUAACAACACUAGACGCAUGUCUAGAGUUUAAAAGAUGGUUCUGCUAUCACUCUUGGAUGGACCUGCGGUGCAUUAGCUAGUUGGUAAGGUAACGGCUUACCAAGGCAAUGAUGCAUAGCCGAGUUGAGAGACUGAUCGGCCACAUUGGGACUGAGACACGGCCCAAACUCCUACGGGAGGCAGCAG